CGCAAGCGCAGUUAGUAUUUUGUAGAAUACUGACGUCGAAACAAAGUAGAUAGCCGAUAGGCUCAGUGGACGCCAUUUCCCUGUCAAACUCAAACUUAAAAAAUUGCCAAAAAUGACAAGGGGAAAUCAGAGAGAAAAAUCUCGUGAAAAGGCAAUAAAAAAACAGAAGGAGGCAGAGAAAAAGAAAGGUUCAAAUGAAAAGGGUGCAAAUAAAGGCCUAACUUUAGAAGAGAGAAGACAUCGGGAUGCGGAAAUAAUGAGGCAAAAGCAGGAAAAGAAGGCAGAAGCAGCCCAAGGGGAAGUGAAAAAAUAAACAACAUGUCAGAUUAGUGGUCAAAAACAGAUUUUGUACUGGACAGAACAGCCUUAUUACCUCGGACUGAGAUUUCUAUGGAUUUCAAUACACAGCACCUGGGGGUUGUCAUUUUUUUUUUAAGGAGGAUUAAUGUUAUAAAAUGGAAGUAUAAACAAUAAUUUGUUUAGAAAAAAUUCAGAAUAUUAAUUAAUGAAAUUCAAGCUUUUUAUUAAUUAUAAAAGUAUGUUUUUGGAUUUCGUAUUUGUAUAGAUGUUGGUUAUUUUAAAGGAAUAAUUUUAUGUUGAAACAAAGAGAAUUGAUUGCAAUUUGCAAAUCAAAUGAAAUGUUAUUUGUAUUUCAGAUCAUUCAUUACAAACAAGUUGACUUUUUCUAGGGAAGUAAAAAUGUUCUAUGCAAAAGCAAAACAGAAAUCAUUAUGCUAGAAUUUAUUACCAUAUAGAUUCAUGUGUCAUAGGAUGUUAAUACUUCUGACAUACAGUGAAUGAAAUCUUAAGUUUACUGCUCUUCAUAGUAAAUUACAGUAUAGUUUCGUACAUUUCAUAUUUCUAUAACAAAAGAGGAUUUUUUGUGCUAAUUUAACUUUUUUUAAAUCUGUGUUUCACAGCCUUUUUGAUCACAAGUUUCAGCAAAAUACUAAGUUUUGGAUAUGUUAUAAAAUUUUGUCCAUUUUUUUGUGCAUAAAAUAUUUUAGUUUGAAUUGUCAGUAUUUUACUGAAAGUUUAAGUUUCCUAGCGAAUGUUAAAGGUGUCAUGCAUUUUGUGUCAUAUUUGAUAGGAGUUUUGAACUUUAGUGUUCUUGUUUACUUUUUACAUUUGUUAAUUUUUUUAAGAUAUGAACAGAGAAUGUGUAAAGUUGUAUUUGGUGACUUUUUCAAAUUUUGCAAACAAAACUUUUUCAGCAUUUGAGAAUAGAAACUGUACACCAUGUAUGAAUUUAUUAAACAGCACAGAUUUCUGGA